rnacentral:rRNA from 1 species
ACAGCAGCCGCCGCGGGAAUACGGAGGGUGCAAGCGUUAAUCGGAAUUACUGGGCGUAAAGCGCACGCAGGCGGUCUGACAAGUCAGAUGUGAAAUCCCCGGGCUUAACCUGGGAACUGCAUUUGAAACUGUCAGGCUGGAGUCUUGUAGAGGGGGGUAGAAUUCCAGGUGUAGCGGUGAAAUGCGUAGAGAUCUGGAGGAAUACCGGUGGCGAAGGCGGCCCCCUGGACAAAGACUGACGCUCAGGUGCGAAAGCGUGGGGAGCAAACAGGAUUAGAGACCCCAGUAGUCCCUGUCUCUUAUAC